GUAUGAAACUGAACUAUGUGUGUGUGUGUGUGUGUGUGUGUGUAACAAAGAGGGAUCAGCCGUUGCUAGCCCUCGCCACACUGUCCUGGACCAGCGGUAAGGGAGAGGGGUCGGUACCUUGACAAAGCCCCGUAUAUACAUCAGGGUUGGACAACUAUAAUGACCGGCAUGGACAACUUCAAGAAUGACGCAGACAGUUUUGAGGAACUCUUCGAUUACGAUGACGAGUAUAUAUUGAAUACUGCCAUAGCAGCGCCUGAACCAGAACUGAAAGGUUUCUGGGAUAUUGUGUAUGAAUGGCGCAUCUUCAUAGCCAUUGUACUUGUAAUUAUCGCGCUGUACUACCUGUGGCGCUCGUGUGUACGUGUCACACAAGGACCGCUAAAGAGGCCCAACAGACGAUUUAACAAACUCCCGCGUGGCAGAUUUACUCGUAUAUAAAUAUGAAGAAAAGAAACUGCGGAGGAUGGGUUCGAGGUGAUACGUGACGAGUACUGGUAGACCUUACAGUAGUCAAGAUCAACAGCAAGUACCUGUCGGAUGCCAGUACCGACUACUCGCGAGCCACAUCAGUGUCACCACAUCAUCGCUCCUGUACAGCCCUCCCCGAUCAGGAUGGCAAGAGUUCGCGGGCUACUGCUGGUACAGGCUUACAUUGACGAGGCCACACUUUGUCGCACGCUUGAGUGACCGAGUCGAGAUUAGUUUUUACUUACCGCAGCUUAUUUUUAAAGUUAACUUUGCUCUUUUACUAAGAAACUACGAACUCCAGCAUUUUUAUUUGUUUUAUGGAUGUGAUAGGUAUGUGGCAAGCACAGCACUACUUGUUGGUUGUUGCAUCCUAAUUAGUUCUAUAUUUUUAAUGUUUUAAGGAAGUAGCUGUGUAUAUUUGAAAAUUCAAGUAUCCAAUGAUAUUUUACGGAGUCGAGUAGUGAGCGGCGUGUUUGUAGCGACGCACUCUUGCCUAAAU